rnacentral:rRNA from 1 species
UACGGGGGAGGCAAGCGUUGUUCGGAAUUACUGGGCGUAAAGGGCUCGUAGGCGGCCAACUAAGUCAGACGUGAAAUCCCUCGGCUUAACCGGGGAACUGCGUCUGAUACUGGAUGGCUAGAGGUUGGGAGAGGGAUGCGGAAUUCCAGGUGUAGCGGUGAAAUGCGUAGAUAUCAGGAGGAACACCGGUGGCGAAGGCGGUUCUCUGGGCAUUACCUGACGCUGAGGAGCGAAAGUGUGGGGAGCGAACAGG